GAUGAACGCUGGCGGCGUGCUUAACACAUGCAAGUCGAACGAGAAGUGAGGACGGAAACCUUCGGGCGGAAGGCUUUACUUCGAGUGGCGGACGGGUGAGUAACGCGUGGGUAACCUGCCUCAUACAGGGGGAUAACAGUUGGAAACGACUGUUAAUACCGCAUAAGACCACAGCACCGCAUGGUGCGGGGGUAAAAACUCCGGUGGUAUGAGAUGGACCCGCGUUCGAUUAGCCAGUUGGCGGGGUAACGGCCCACCAAAGCGACGAUCGAUAGCCGAUCUGAGAGGAUGACCGGCCACAUUGGGACUGAGACACGGCCCAAACUCCUACGGGAGGCAGCAGUGGGGAAUAUUGCACAAUGGGGGAAACCCUGAUGCAGCGACGCCGCGUGAGUGAAGAAGUAUUUCGGUAUGUAAAGCUCUAUCAGCAGGGAAGAAAAUGACGGUACCUGAGUAAGAAGCCCCGGCUAACUACGUGCCAGCAGCCGCGGUAAUACGUAGGGGGCAAGCGUUAUCCGGAUUUACUGGGUGUAAAGGGAGCGCAGACGGCUCUGCAAGUCUGAAGUGAAAGCCCGCGGCUUAACUGCGGGACUGCUUUGGAAACUGCAAGGCUUGAGUAUCGGAGGGGCAGGCGGAAUUCCUAGUGUAGCGGUGAAAUGCGUAGAUAUUUGUAGGAAUGCCGAUGGGGAAGCCAGCUUACUGGACAGAUACUGACGCUAAAGCGCGAAAGCGUGGGUAGCAAACAGG
rnacentral:rRNA from 1 species